GUAGCAGUGAAAUGUUCUUUAUUGUAAAAUUGCUUCGGUUAUAAUUUUAAUUAGGUACCUAGACCUACCUGUUCGCAAAAAAAAAAAAAUGUUGAUCGAAGUGUCGUGAUGUUCGUACAAUUUUUUCGGAGUAAAGUCUUCGUAUUCGUUUGAAAUUUCAUAUAAGUAUUGUUUAAAGUCCCUGUCAAUGCUAAUUUUACAAGUACUUACAAUUCUUCUAAUUGACAUCUAAAAAAAAAAUUAACACAAUCGGUUGAAUCAUGAUUAAUUGUCCAAGAAGAAAGCUACAACGAUGGUAGAAAACGGCGAGAAAAAGUACAAAAAAAGAAAGAAGUUUGAUUUCCAAGAAAGAUCAGUUCAAAAUGCCACCGAUGAUUUUAAGUUUGAAAACAGUCAACAGAAUAAUGCUCAAUCCUGAACUUAUUUUUGUUAUGAAGUGGAAUGGUUAUCCGAUGAAGCCUUCAAUAAAAUAGAACCUCGAAUAUGCAUUAUUCAAUUAUUGCAUGCAUGCGAGUUUGGAUGCUAAUUGCUAUAAGACAAAAAUGAAAGUUCGACUGAAUGAAGAGAAACAAGAUCGUCAGCUGUUUAUUUACCAAUGUCAAUGUUACUUCAUUGGCCAAAUUGCUAUUUUUGAGAUGCUCGUCACGAUACAAAGAAAUAGCUGAAUUUGAUAGACCUUUGGCUAUUGCUAGUGUUGAAUGUUCACAAAUUCUAACUCCAGAUAAUUCAGAUAGUGGGUAGUGUCGCUACGAUAGAAGACGACAUCGAUCCUAGCUCCAAAAUGCUGACAUGACGUCUGUAUUAUUAAAAUGCUUGUAGUACAGUUGUUGUAAUAUUAUCAUUGAUAGGAAAAAACCCACAUAAAUUAUGUAGCUUCUUGUUGUCUGCGUGGAUGCUUAUAAUUUUUACAUGAAGAUUUUGCUGAUGCUUGGCCUCGAUGACGCCAAGAUUUUAAUAGGGAUCCACUGGAGAGGCGGGGUCAGGGGAACCCUAAAACCUCAGUUAUUUUUUUUUCGAAAUUAAAAAAAAAAUAAUAAUAAAAUUAUGCAGUUUUUUAUUACUUAUUAAUUAAUUAGGUACCUACUUAUUUUUUUUUUUUCAAAAAAUAUUACAUUUCAUUUCUUACUUAAUUGAUCGGUUCUAAAUGUAUAUAACCUAUUUUGUUAGAAUUUUUCAAUACUUUCAAUUAGGUACAAUCUAUUUUUAAUCUGAUUAGAUUACUUAAUUUAAAGAAUAUUUACUUGAAUUCAUUUAUAUUGUUGCUGCAAAUGCAAUUUGUUAUAUGUAAAUGUCUGUGAUUCUCACCUUAAGAAUUAUUUUACCAAUGUAGCAUUUUUGCUAUGUAU